rnacentral:rRNA from 1 species
CUCGAACGUAAGAUGACUGUAGGUGAAAGCUUACAUCUCUCGGAGCAGUUUUACGAGGUGCGUGCAUGGUUGUCGUCAGCUCGUGCCGUGAGGUGUCGGGUUAAGUCCCAUAACGAGCGCAACCCUACCUUUAGUUGCCAUCAGGUAAUGCUGGGGACUCUAAAGGAACUGCCUACGCAAGUAGUGAGGAAGGCGGGGAUGACGUCAAAUCAGCACGGCCUUACGUCCAGGGCUACACACGUGCUACAAUGGCCGAUACAGAGGGCAGCUACCUGGUGACAGGGAUGCAAAUACUCCAAAGUCGGUCUCAGUUCGGAUCGGAGUCUGCAACCCGACUCCGUGAAGUUGGAUUCGCUAGUAAUCGCGCAUCAGCCAUGGCGCGGUGAAUACGUUCCCGGGCCUU